rnacentral:rRNA from 1 species
GAUCCUGGCUCAGGAUGAACGCUAGCUACAGGCUUAACACAUGCAAGUCGAGGGGCAGCAUGAUUGAAGCUUGCUUCAAUUGAUGGCGACCGGCGCACGGGUGAGUAACACGUAUCCAACCUUCCGUACACUCAGGGAUAGCCUUUCGAAAGAAAGAUUAAUACCUGAUGGUAUCUUAAGCACACAUGUAAUUAAGAUUAAAAGAUUUAUCGGUGUACGAUGGGGAUGCGUU